CUUUCACACUAUGUUUUCCCUUGGGCAAUUUUGUUAUGUGAGAAGCAUUCUUUAGCUCAUACAUAUUUCCGAGGGCAACUUCUCCCAGUAGUAUUAACCCAAUUGGAUCAGCUUGAGAUGUGUGACAGUAGUUGGCACUCUUGGAAACCAUAUCUGCAAAGUAGAUGCCCUUCCCAAACAUGUAGCCGGUCACAGGAGCUUCAGGGGGAGCUAUCCGGAGACCCUGUGAGAGGAUACCAGCGAAGUUGGUGGUGCGGGAACCGUGCCACAGCAGCUGGCGAUUAUGAAGCUGCUUAAAUGGCUUGUAACGCUGACUCUCUCCUUCACGUUCAAUCCUGAAGAUUUCCACAACUUUGAGGUCAUAUGCAUUGUGAGUAGCAGCAUGAGUAUUUUUCACGUAUUGUUUAAUAAUCUUGGCUUCUUCUGAAUCUUUGUCAACCACCUUAAUAUCAGUUCGGAGCUUUUCAUAAUUGAUAUCAAUUGGGUCUUUGUCUCCAUCUUCAUUUCCACCUCUGAGAAGACUGUAAGCAACCUCAAUAUCGAGCAAGUUGUCCAACAUCUGCACUUUAGCCUGAAUGUAUUCCAAGUUACUGAGAAGAGGUGGUUUCUUCAUCCCAAAGUCAUGAGGGAUCAGAGUAUAGAAGCGGUUUGAGAGGUCCAAGAUCUGGGAUUCAGAACCACCGUCAGAAACCGCCUGCUGAACCUCGUUAAGGAUGGAGUAUGCACUUUGGAUCUGUCGCUUGCUCAGUUUCCCCAGUGGCAUCUUCUGCAGGUCAAUCUCAAAUUCCACCAUGGCUUUCUUCAUGCUCUCCACAUCAAAAAUCAUCUUAAUAAGGUCUUGGAUUGGCUUAGCAAGCUUCGAUUUAGUCCCAGCACUCACUGUCAGUUUCCUGACAGCUUCUUCAUCCUGUCCAUAAUCUAUUUCCAGUGGGUAGAAUUUUUUGGGAUAUUUAGUGAAGUUCUUUGAAUGCCAAGAAUUGCCAGUUUUCUCUUCGUACAAAUUUAGGAAGUGUUCAACAGCAUCUUCUUUUGAUGGCAUCUGCUCCAGCUUGUUACUCCCAAUGACAGUGCCCACACGACCCCAGGAUCUGAACACCCAGUACCUGCUCUCUCUGUCAUCCUCCAGCAGCUGCAGUUUGUAAUAGGAAUUUGUUCCUUUCACAAUAUCCACUAGGCCAAGAGUUGCACUGAAAAUCUUCCCACCUUUUUCAAAGACAUGAGCAGAAUCCUCCAAGCCGGAAUCAGGAUCUACUGCUGCUCCACCUUUAACUGUUAGCUUCAUUUUCUUCUCAGACUUGCUAGGUCCUUGUUCUUCUUUGACCUUCCCAGCACUCUUCAUAUUUGCAGGCUUGCUGCACUUCCCAUCCACCGCCACCUCCUGGUGCUCCGUUUUCACCUCUGCACCCCAAGGUGAAAUUGCAUGGAGAGAGAGAAGCUCCUGAAAGCCCUUGCUGGAAGAUUUCACAUCCUUAAGAAACUCCUCUGAGACCACACGAACUUUGGCAUCCUUCACUUCUUCCAUCUUCUUGCUCAUUUUCUCCACCUCCUUUUGUGUGCUGAUGCACAGGGUGGCCUUGUUAGCUGUUGUUGUCAUCUUUCCUCCCAGCUCCUCCACAAUAUUCUUCACUUCCUCCUUGUUCUUGGACAGCUUUCCAAGAGUCAGGAUCUUCAUGUUGGUCAGUGGUUUCUCUUGGGGUGCAGUGACAGUCUCUGUCAAUGGAGCGGAUGCAGAUGGAGGCGGUGCAGAGUUCACAGUUGCAGCCUCAGGAGGGAAUAUCCUAUCCUGCUUCUUACACUUAAAUUUUUUGAGAUAAGGAAUCUCACGAAAUUCCUUCGGGAUUACCCAGUCUUUCCUAUUGGGAGUCUGUGUUUUAGCCACACACUUAGUCCAGGCAGUAAUGUCCCCUGAGCAGUAGUAUGCAUCGCUCUUGAACACAAACUGCCCUUUACACUCCUCACAAGGAAGCAGAGCUCCAAACGCCAUCCCGUCUGCCACUCUGUCCAAGAUUGCAUUCUCCCCUGAAGGCACCUCCUGCUUGUUGGCGAUCAGCAGCUCUUUCAGGUCAUUCGUGGAGCAGACCUUCCUCAGCUCAUCCUUGAUGCCCCAGAUCAGCUCUGUCUGCUCCUUCAGCUGUUUUUCCUGCUUUGAUUCUUUUUCUUUUUCUUUUCUUGAUUUCUUUUUUGCAACCACAUUUCCAUCUACCUCUUCUCCUUUUCUCUUUCCUUCAGUCUUAGUAGCUGGUAGCUGUUUCUUCAGAGUUUCUUUAUCUUCAGCUUUCAAGAUGCUGAAACCCAGGAGCUGUGUGGCCCCAUAUGCUGGGAGGAAGCCCAGCUCUGCCCGGCGGCUGACGAAGCAGUCCGGGUGGUACCAGUUAUCGAUCAUCCCCAGCUGUGGUUUCUCAGGAUGCACCAUCUUCUUGGAAAUCCGAAUCUGGCCCUUUUCUAUUUUCUGCUCACAGCCUUUGCAAGUACUCCUGUUAGACUUGGCAUACUCUGCAGCAAAGUCAGUUAGGCUCUUCUCAGCCUUGCCACCUCCUUCCUGGUCCCCCCCUUUUCCUCCUGCAGGGCCUCCGGUUUCAAUAGCCUUCUUGAUUUUCUCCUGGUCCUCCCAGCGGAGCUCAGGGAAGCCAUCGAUGUCUGUGUGGGACACGAUCCGCGCCCGCUUCCAGAAGCAGCUGUAGUGGUGCCAGUGAGGGACUUUGCCAUCGAACAUGGGCGACUGCACCAUGAGGGCCAGGCGCAGCGAGUCCUUGGCGAUGCUCUCGCCGCACUUCUUGCACGACGCCCGCCCGCUCUUGGCGUACUCCGCGCGGUACGGCUUGUCCCCCGUCUCCGCCAUCGCUGCCGAGCUCGAGAGCCGAGCCCCGAGCCCAGGCACGCCGAGCCGAGCCGAGCCGAGCCGAGCCGCGCCGCGCGCCCACCGCAGGCAGAACUAGCCGAGCGUCGAGCGCCCUGCCCGCCCCAGCGCCCGGCCGCCAUCCGCCGCUCGGGCAGCAACUGGGCAUGUCUGACGGCGCCUGGAACCUUCCGGUGCGAUGCGGGGUAUCAAUGGAGGGGCGGGGAGCGGCGGUCCCGUGACGGAGGCUGGGGGCGGGGCCUCCUGCGUUCCGCUCCCCUUGGAGGUGAUACCCCGUAAGGGCAGCAGGGGGCGCUGCUAAUACAGCCUCGCCGGAGAAGCGCCGUGGGAGGCGCUGAAGUUCUCCAACCCGUCGCGAAGUAAUUCCGUUCCUUCGAUGGUGACCCCGGGGGUUCCUGCAAAGGGGGAAUGGCUCCCUGGUGGCGUUCCCUCCCGCUCGGGCCACUACAUGAACACUGUUGGAGGUCCCGGGAUGCCACCACACAGCUCCAUGUUGAAGCAGGACCGAGUGCUUCCCCUCGCACUGUGCUGACGGUGCCUUGAGCACUAAACCCUCCAUACUGUGUUGCACUGAUCUCCAUUUCUGAUGCAUGCAAAGAUGCCUUCUGACAAGUUUUCCACCCUGUGGAGCAUCUCAUAAAGGGUGAGAAAAUGUUGGAAGACUACCCUACAUAGCCUGUAGGGCUAGAACUGUCUUUACUCGGGUCUGGAUUUGUUGCUGGGGGAGACGAUUUAGUACUAAUUGAGAAAUCUGUACGGAAAAGCCCUUUCAGUGCUAUGUUAUCCUGUCCCUAUGGACGAUUUGUUUCUUCCGUGGUGCUGCACACAAUCGCUAUGGCUGGUAUGACCUUGUUUGCAUGUAGGCAGCUGCCUAGGUGCAACAAGUGGCUGUGGCUCAGCUGUGCCUUCCCUCAUCGUGCAAGUGAUCAACCCCCUGACAUCAGCCAGAGCACUCCAAUGGGAAUGGGAUGCAAAACCACGCACCCCACAUCUACCUGUCACGCUGUCUUUUCUUGCCACAGAAUAAAUGAAAGGGGUUAUUCCACUCUCUGUGAAAGAAUGUGUCUCCUACCGUGGCUCCUGUGCAAGUGUGUGGUUUUGGUGCCUAGA
rnacentral:lncRNA from 1 species